AAGUAUAUGUUCACAGGGGUCCAAAACUAACUAAUAACCCCAAACAACAAAACAAACAUCACACAUCAACAUGUAUACAUACAUAAAUCAUCAAAAACUACCAUGAAUAACCUAAGCAUGCUUCUCCUUCCUUUCACUCUUCAGAAAACAUAUAAACAGGGUCUAAAACUGCCCUUACCUCUGGAAACAGGAAGAUACACACACUGAACAAAGGAAAACCAGA
rnacentral:lncRNA from 1 species